CUACCACAUCCAAGGAAGGCAGCAGGCGCGCAAAUUACCCACUCCCGGAACGGGGAGGUAGUGACGAAAAAUAACAAUACGGGACUCUUUUGAGACCCCGUAAUUGGAAUGAGUACACUCCAAACCCUUUAACGAGGACCCAUCAGAGGGCAAGUCUGGUGCCAGCCGCCGCGGUAAUUCCAGCUCUGAUAGCGUAUAUUAAAGUUGUUGCGGUUAAAAAGCUCGUAGUUGGAUCUCAGUUCCCGACGGGCGGUCCGCCUACCGGCGGUCACUGCCCGGUCGGAACAACACUGCCGGUUUCCCCCGAUGAUCUUCACCGGUUGUCUCGGGUGACCGGCGAGUUUACUUUGAAAAAAUUAGAGUGCUCAACGCAGGCUUUUAAGCCUGGAUAAUGGUGCAUGGAAUAAUGGAAUAGGACCUCGGUUCUAUUUUGUUGGUUUUCGGAACACGAGGUAAUGAUUAAGAGGGACAGACGGGGGCAUUCGUAUUGCGACGCUAGAGGUGAAAUUCUUGGACCGUCGCAAGACGAACUACUGCGAAAGCAUUUGCCAAGAAUGUUUCCAUUAAUCAAGAACGAAAGUUAGAGGCUCGAAGGCGAUCAGAUACCGCCCUAGUUCUAACCAUAAACGAUGCCAGCCAGCGAUCCGGCUGCGUUCCUCAAAUGACGCGCCGGGCAGCUUCCGGGAAACCAAAGCCUUUGGGUUCCGGGGGAAGUAUGGUU
rnacentral:rRNA from 1 species